GGGACACGUGGUAUCCUGUCUGAAUAUGGGGGGACCAUCCUCCAAGGCUAAAUACUCCUGACUGACCGAUAGUGAACCAGUACCGUGAGGGAAAGGCGAAAAGAACCCCGGCGAGGGGAGUGAAAAAGAACCUGAAACCGUGUACGUACAAGCAGUGGGAGCCUCUUAAUGGGGUGACUGCGUACCUUUUGUAUAAUGGGUCAGCGACUUAUAUUCUGUAGCAAGGUUAACCGAAUAGGGGAGCCGAAGGGAAACCGAGUCUUAACUGGGCGUUAAGUUGCAGGGUAUAGACCCGAAACCCGGUGAUCUAGCCAUGGGCAGGUUGAAGGUUGGGUAACACUAACUGGAGGACCGAACCGACUAAUGUUGAAAAAUUAGCGGAUGACUUGUGGCUGGGGGUGAAAGGCCAAUCAAACCGGGAGAUAGCUGGUUCUCCCCGAAAGCUAUUUAGGUAGCGCCUCGUGAAUUCAUCUCCGGGGGUAGAGCACUGUUUCGGCAAGGGGGUCAUCCCGACUUACCAACCCGAUGCAAACUGCGAAUACCGGAGAAUGUUAUCACGGGAGACACACGGCGGGUGCUAACGUCCGUCGUGAAGAGGGAAACAACCCAGACCGCCAGCUAAGGUCCCAAAGUCAUGGUUAAGUGGGAAACGAUGUGGGAAGGCCCAGACAGCCAGGAUGUUGGCUUAGAAGCAGCCAUCAUUUAAAGAAAGCGUAAUAGCUCACUGGUCGAGUCGGCCUGCGCGGAAGAUGUAACGGGGCUAAACCAUGCACCGAAGCUGCGGCAGCGACGCUUAUGCGUUGUUGGGUAGGGGAGCGUUCUGUAAGCCUGUGAAGGUGGCCUGUGAGGGUUGCUGGAGGUAUCAGAAGUGCGAAUGCUGACAUAAGUAACGAUAAAGCGGGUGAAAAGCCCGCUCGCCGGAAGACCAAGGGUUCCUGUCCAACGUUAAUCGGGGCAGGGUGAGUCGACCCCUAAGGCGAGGCCGAAAGGCGUAGUCGAUGGGAAACAGGUUAAUAUUCCUGUACUUGGUGUUACUGCGAAGGGGGGACGGAGAAGGCUAUGUUGGCCGGGCGACGGUUGUCCCGGUUUAAGCGUGUAGGCUGGUUUUCCAGGCAAAUCCGGAAAAUCAAGGCUGAGGCGUGAUGACGAGGCACUACGGUGCUGAAGCGACAAAUGCCCUGCUUCCAGGAAAAGCCUCUAAGCAUCAGGUAACAUCAAAUCGUACCCCAAACCGACACAGGUGGUCAGGUAGAGAAUACCAAGGCGCUUGAGAGAACUCGGGUGAAGGAACUAGGCAAAAUGGUGCCGUAACUUCGGGAGAAGGCACGCUGAUAUGUAGGUGAAGCGACUUGCUCGUGGAGCUGAAAUCAGUCGAAGAUACCAGCUGGCUGCAACUGUUUAUUAAAAACACAGCACUGUGCAAACACGAAAGUGGACGUAUACGGUGUGACGCCUGCCCGGUGCCGGAAGGUUAAUUGAUGGGGUUAGCGGUAACGCGAAGCUCUUGAUCGAAGCCCCGGUAAACGGCGGCCGUAACUAUAACGGUCCUAAGGUAGCGAAAUUCCUUGUCGGGUAAGUUCCGACCUGCACGAAUGGCGUAAUGAUGGCCAGGCUGUCUCCACCCGAGACUCAGUGAAAUUGAACUCGCUGUGAAGAUGCAGUGUACCCGCGGCAAGACGGAAAGACCCCGUGAACCUUUACUAUAGCUUGACACUGAACAUUGAGCCUUGAUGUGUAGGAUAGGUGGGAGGCUUUGAAGUGUGGACGCCAGUCUGCAUGGAGCCGACCUUGAAAUACCACCCUUUAAUGUUUGAUGUUCUAACGUGGGCCCCUUACCGGGGUUGCGGACAGUGUCUGGUGGGUAGUUUGACUGGGGCGGUCUCCUCCUAAAGAGUAACGGAGGAGCACGAAGGUUGGCUAAUCCUGGUCGGACAUCAGGAGGUUAGUGCAAUGGCAUAAGCCAGCUUGACUGCGAGCGUGACGGCGCGAGCAGGUGCGAAAGCAGGUCAUAGUGAUCCGGUGGUUCUGAAUGGAAGGGCCAUCGCUCAACGGAUAAAAGGUACUCCGGGGAUAACAGGCUGAUACCGCCCAAGAGUUCAUAUCGACGGCGGUGUUUGGCACCUCGAUGUCGGCUCAUCACAUCCUGGGGCUGAAGUAGGUCCCAAGGGUAUGGCUGUUCGCCAUUUAAAGUGGUACGCGAGCUGGGUUUAGAACGUCGUGAGACAGUUCGGUCCCUAUCUGCCGUGGGCGCUGGAGAACUGAGGGGGGCUGCUCCUAGUACGAGAGGACCGGAGUGGACGCAUCACUGGUGUUCGGGUUGUCAUGCCAAUGGCACUGCCCGGUAGCUAAAUGCGGAAGAGAUAAGUGCUGAAAGCAUCUAAGCACGAAACUUGCCCCGAGAUGAGUUCUCCCUGAGACUUAGAGUCUCCUGAAGGAACGUUGAAGA
rnacentral:rRNA from 1 species